GCGACUGUGGUGUAGCCUGGUAUCACAGUGGCUUCCCAAGCCACUAACCCGGGUUCAAAUCCCGGCAGUCGCA
rfam:Picrophilus torridus DSM 9790, complete genome.